rnacentral:rRNA from 1 species
AUUGCAUUUAUUAKGUAAAACCAACCGUAUAAGUAAAAUUAUACGUGGUGAAUCUAGAUAACUUUGCUGAUCGCAGCCUUGUGCAGCGACGUUUCGAUUGAGUUUCUGCCCUAUCACCUUGAUGCUAGUGUAUUGUACUAGCAUGGGAGUAACGGGUAACGGAGGAUCAGGGUUCGAUCCCGGAGAGGGAGCCUGAGAAACGGCUACCACAUCCAAGGAAGGCAGCAGGCGCGCAAAUUACCCAAUCCAGACAAUGGGAGGUGGUGACGAAGAGUACCGGAUGACUGGAUAAUAUUCAGUCAGUCUGGAAUGAAUACAAUUUAAGCAAUUGAGUUGAGAAACAACUGGAGGGCAAGUCUGGUGCCAGCAGCCGCGGUAAUUCCAGCUCCAGUAGCGUGUCUCAAAGUUGCUGCGCUUAAAACGCUCGUAGUUGGAUGAAAAACUACAUAUUGGAAAGUUAUUCGUUGGGUUUACAACAGUGUAGUUUUAUUGUUUUGCCUUCGGUAAUCGAUAUAUUCUCACUUGUUGACCAGCAGUAACAUAUAACUGAUAUGUAGUAAUUGCGUGUGAGGAUGACCAUUGACCUUAAGUGUGUUGAAGGUCGUGUCUCAUGGGAUGUGCCUUGAGUAAAUCAGAGUGCUCAAAGCAGGUGUUAUGCCUGAAUGUUUUUAGCAUGGAACGAACAAUAAUGUAGACGCGUAUUGAAUAUAGUAGUUUGAUUUGYCUUUGACUCUUCAAUUCUACUUCAAUGCGUAACAUCUACCGCCAAUUACGAAUGUUGGUUUCGUA